UACGUAGGGUGCGAGCGUUAAUCGGAAUUACUGGGCGUAAAGCGUGCGCAGGCGGUUUUGUAAGCCAGAUGUGAAAUCCCCGGGCUUAACCUGGGAAUGGCAUUUGGGACUGCAAGGCUUGAGUGCGGCAGAGGAGACUGGAAUUCCUGGUGUAGCAGUGAAAUGCGUAGAUAUCAGGAGGAAUACCGAUGGCGAAGGCAGGUCUCUGGGCUGACACUGACGCUCAUGCACGAAAGCGUGGGGAGCAA
rnacentral:rRNA from 1 species